AUUGAACGCUGGCGGCAGGCUUAACACAUGCAAGUCGAGCGGAGAUGAGGUGCUUGCACCUUAUCUUAGCGGCGGACGGGUGAGUAAUGCUUAGGAAUCUGCCUAUUAGUGGGGGACAACAUUCCGAAAGGAAUGCUAAUACCGCAUACGUCCUACGGGAGAAAGCAGGGGAUCUUCGGACCUUGCGCUAAUAGAUGAGCCUAAGUCGGAUUAGCUAGUUGGUGGGGUAAAGGCCUACCAAGGCGACGAUCUGUAGCGUGUCUGAGAGGAUGAUCCGCCACACUGGGACUGAGACACGGCCCAGACUCCUACGGGAGGUAGCAGUGGGGAAUAUUGGACAAUGGGGGGAACCCUGAUCCAGCCAUGCCGCGUGUGUGAAGAAGGCCUUAUGGUUGUAAAGCACUUUAAGCGAGGAGGAGGCUACUGAGACUAAUACUCUUGGAUAGUGGACGUUACUCGCAGAAUAAGCACCGGCUAACUCUGUGCCAGCCGCCGCAGUAAAAC
rnacentral:rRNA from 1 species